ACACGACUACAUUAGAUACCCGGGUAGUCCUGGCCGUAAACGAUGUGGACUUGGUGUUGGAAUGGCUCCGAGCUGCUCCAGUGCCGAAGGGAAACCGUGAAACGUGCCGCCUGGGAAGUACGGUCGCAAGGCUGAAACUUAAAGGAAUUGGCGGGGGAGCACAACAACGGGUGGAGCUUGCGGUUUAAUUGGAUUCAACGCCGGAAAUCUUACCGGGACCGACAGCAACAUGAAGGCCAAGCUGAAGACUUUGCCGGAUUAGCUG
rnacentral:rRNA from 1 species